CGGAAGAAGAAGAAGAUACAGUCAGCCCGCCUUGCUUCGGCCCUCCGCAUCAGAAACGAGCCCUUCCCCAAAGGAUUCUCACUGCCACGAGACACUCCCAAGUACAGUGGCUCCGUGAAGCCGGAAGAUUGGUUGGCCGACUACUCCACCACCGUCAACAUAGCAAACAGCAACAAGCGUGUUGCCGUGAAGUACAUUCUGCUCAUGCUCCAGGGCACGACCCGGACGUGGCUGAACAACCUCAAGCCGCAUAGCGUCAACAUAUGGCUAGACUUCGCUGACGUUUUCAUCCGCAACUUCACCAGCACCUACAAGCGACCGCCCAAGCCUCGCCAACUCUCCUUAUGCAUCCAAGGCCCGACUGAGUCCACCCGUGACUAUCUGACACGUUGGGCGAGCUUCGCAACUCCUGCGAAGGGGUGCACGGGGUGCAUGCCAUAG
rnacentral:rRNA from 1 species